CGUACGCAACAUACCCGUUACUGGGGCAUAGCCUUCUGAAAAGGAGAUUAACACCCCAUAAUAUCAUUGAUUGGCAUCAGUUGAUGAUUAAAAAUUUAUUGGUAGCGGAUUGGCGUGCGUCCUAUUAGCUAGUUGGUAUGGGUAAUGGCCUACCAAGGCGACGAUAGGUAGCUGGUGUGAGAGCACGACCAGCCACACGGGCACUGAGACACGGGCCCG
rnacentral:rRNA from 1 species